ensembl:lncRNA LINC01623 long intergenic non-protein coding RNA 1623
UUUUCUCCCGCCUUUUCUCCUAGAUGUGCCUUGUUUGCAAAAUCAUGUCUAUCAUGUCCACGACUCGCCUCAAUUUUUUUUCUUUUGUUUUUGUGGCACUUUCAUUCUCUCUCAAUUCUUCAAAUUCACAUGGAAACCAAGGAAAACAAGCUCCGUUUUGCUUUCAAUAUUGAUGCAUUUCUGCUCUAAGGCUUUGACACCACCCUGGGUGGCUGUGUCAAGAGAUGAAAGACAAAAUGAAAGAGGCCGCGGAAGCACAGACUGGCAGAAUUCCAAAACCCGAAAAACAAGCAAGGCACCAAAUUAACAAGCCCAAUCACAUUGGUUACAUUUCCCAGUAUUAUCGAAGAUCAAGCAAGAAAGAAAAAGACAGAAAACAAAUGCGAAACCACAGCUUCCUUGGCUCUUUUUGCCCAUAUGCCGAAGAGCCGAGCAUUGCCGCCAAGCAUUGGCACCGGCCAUGCGGAGACUAGCGAAAGCUUUGCAAUUCCUCUACUUCUCAGUGAUGACUCGGGCUUUCUCCUUACAUUCUUGAUGGGCAUGACCGGUCCUGUCAGCUGGGUGGCCAAUUUCUGUUCUUCAGCAGAACUGUCUCCCUUCUUGGGGGCCGAGGGCUUUCUGGGGAAGAGGAUGAGUUUGGAGCAAUACUCAUUCAGACGCUGCACAUUGGCCUGCAGGGAAUCGGUGGACUUGUUCUGCCUCCUCGGAUCCACAGAGAUGCCAGUGGUCCGGGUCACCUUCUUGUGAAUGCCCGCCACCCUGAGCUCCAGGCUGAAGCCUCUGCCGGCGCGCACCUUGAUGUGAUAACGCACAGCAGGGCACAGCACAAUGGGCCAGAUGGGUCCCGACUCUCCGGGCGCGGGGCGAUGCAGCGCCCUUUGGCUUGCCGGGCCUUGAUUCUGCGGAUCUUCUGGUUGAACCACGUGGCCACACGCUGCUGCCAGUCCUUGUGGAAGUGGGGCUUCAACAUCAUGCCAUUCCUGCUGGGCGCCAUGGCUGCCUACGGCCCUCCUACGAAGGAAACACUUUAUAGAUUUCUAUAGCAGUGUUACAUAGUAAGGUUUUAUGGCGAGUUUUGUAGCAUGGAUCAUACUACCUUAGGACUGAUGGUAAAGUUUUAGUCUAAGGAAAGCUCUGAAAAUUUGAAAAUGUGUAACCACCCAAUGAGUUCAGCUUGCCCACUGCCUAGACAGAACCAUUUAUCAAGACGGGCAUGCAAAGCCGGCUGUGUGGGAGACCCGUUUUAUUAUUAUUCAAAUC